rnacentral:tRNA from 1 species
GCGGAUGUAGUGUUAGCGGUCUAGCACUUCUGCCUUCCAAGCAGAGGGCGCGGGUUCGAAUCCCGUCAUCCGUUUUCA